rnacentral:tmRNA from 1 species
GGGGGCGUUUGGUCUCGACGGGGGCAGCGGAGAUAAGAGCUGCAGGCCGAGCUUUCCGACUCGUUAAUCCGGAAGCACGUAUAAGUGCCAACGAAGAAUUAGCUCUUGCUGCUUAAUUAAAUUCGCAGCACGCUCUUUCCGGCAUGCCCGGUUGCCGGAAAAGGGUGUCAUAACUCCGGGCUCUUCUCCCGCUGUUUGCUUUGGCAGCCGGAGAGAACACUGACAAAGCUGGCCGGCGUUCAAUCCUGCCCUCGGGAGUGAAGCCGGCGAGAUCAAAACGAGGGAUAAGCCUGUAGAGGCUUUUAUCGAUGCGCCUUCGGACAGGGGUUCGAUUCCCCUCGCCUCCACCA